GGUAGCCUAGUGGUUAGAGUGUAGGGUCGGCAGGUAGCCUAGUGGUUAGAGUGUAGGGGCGGCAGGUAGCCUAGUGGUUAGAGUGUAGAGGCGGCAGGUAGCCUAGUGGUUAGAGUGUAGGGACGGCAGGUAGCCUAGUGGUUAGAGUGUAGAGGCGGCAGGUAGCCUAGUGGUUAGAGUGUAGAGGCGGCAGGUAGCCUAGUGGUUAGAGUGUAGAGGCGGCAGGUAGCCUAGUGGUGAGAGUGUAGGGGCGGCAGGUAGCCUAGUGGUUAGAGUGGAGGGGCGGCAGGUAGCCUAGUGGUUAGAGUGUAGGGGCGGCAGGUAGCCUAGUGGUUAGAGUGUAGGGGCGGCAGGUAGCCUAAUGGUUAAGAGUGUAGGGGCGGCAGGUAGCCUAGUGGUUAGAGUGUAGGGGCGGCAGGUAGCCUAGUGGUUAGAGUGUAGAGGCGGCAGGUAGCCUAGUGGUUAGAGUGUAGGGUCGGCAGGUAGCCUAGUGGUUAGAGUGUAGAGCGGCAGGUAGCCUAGUGGUUAGAGUAUAGGGGCGGCAGGUAGCCUAGUGGUUAGAGUGUAGGGUCGGCAGGUAGCCUAGUGGUUAGAGUGUAGAGGCGGCAGGUAGCCUAGUGGUUAGAGUGUAGGGUCGGCAGGUAGCCUAGUGGUUAGAGUAUAGAGGCGGCAGGUAGCCUAGUGGUUAGAGUGUAGGGUCGGCAGGUAGCCUAGUGGUUAGAGUGUAGAGGCGGCAGGUAGCCUAGUGGUUAGAGUAUAGGGGCGGCAGGUAGCCUAGUGGUUAGAGUGUAGGGGAGGCAGGGUAGCCUAGUGGUUAGAGUAUAGGGGCGGCAGGUAGCCUAGUGGUUAGAGUGUAGAGGCGGCAGGUAGCCUAGUGGUUAGAGUGUAGGGGCGGCAGGUAGCCUAGUGGUUAGAGUGUAGGGUCGGCAGGUAGCCUAGUGGUUAGAGUGUAGGGGCGGCAGGUAGCCUAGUGGUUAGAGUGUAGGGGCGGCAGGUAGCCUAGUGGUUAGAGUGUAGGGGCGGCAGGUAGCCUAGUGGUUAGAGUGUAGGGGCGGCAGGUAGCCUAGUGGUUAGAGUGUAGGGGCGGCAGGUAGCCUAGUGGUUAGAGUGUAGGGGCGGCAGGUAGCCUAGUGGUUAGAGUGUAGGGGCAGCAGGUCGUCUAGUGGUUAGAGUGUUGAACUUGUAACCGAAAGGUUAAGAUCGAAUCCCCGAGCUGACAAGGUAAAAAUCUGUCGUUCUGCCCCUGAACAAGGCAGUUAACCCACUGUUCCCAGGCCGUCAUUGUAAAUAACAA